ensembl:lncRNA
CGCACACAUAGAUCUGGGACUCAGGCUAGCUGUCGCGUUGGCCAAUAGAAGCACAUUCUCUUGCGGUUCCAUUGGUAAUGGAGGUGUUGGUAUGUUCUCCUGCGGUUCAGUUACUGAUAGGUCUGUGGACUGAUUCUAACUCUGGUGCGCUCCAGUCGUCGGUCAGUCGGUCAGUGUGAGGGCCUGGCUGGUGGGUUGGGACUGUUAGUGCUCUGUCACUCCUCAGGGGGGUGCUAUACUACAGCAUGCAGAGGAGCGUUCCCCUGCAUCUUUAGCAGCUUGCACCCCACUAGCCACGGAGAGGACAGUUACAUAUGACUUGUUAGAAGACGUGGAAGGAGAGAGAACACUACUAUGUAGUGCUGCACCCCCCUACUGUAGCUCUUCACUAUGGAUGUCACUCCCCAGGGAUCCAACUAACCCUCACAACCAGACCACUGCUGCUCCCUGGAUAGGAUACUCACUACUGGGAAAGCCAAUCAGAUCCUCCUCCCCUGUUCGAUUUCAUGACUCUGUUUCCUUCACUGGUCCAAGCCUGUUCACUAUAACCAGCUACUACAGUACAGUCAGACCUGGGAGGUUUCUGGGUUGGACUGAUACUAGGUUCAGAUUCCAGUUCAGGGUUCAUUUAGUGAAGUGUUUAUUUGUUGUCCUUUGAUUUCCUUUCCUGGCGACACUACUAUGCUCUGUCUGUACAUUUCAGAUAUCCCAACUUCUGUCUGUAAAUAAUGUUUGUCCUGUGUAGAUCUACUUGUUUAUGAUGCAUCUUGUGUUUCUAAAAAAUGAUUAUGUACUAAAAAGGACAAAAAGAAAAUGUACUUCCUUUUAGGAUUAUUGUGAAAAUUGAGGAUGUGACUGAUAUUUUAUUGGUCUUGUAUUAUUAGAAGUCAUAGAUAUUUUCUAUCAUUAUUAUUCAUUCCUAUACUUGUUUAAAAGUAGUUUAAAAAUCAUUGUACAUAAAAAAAACUGUUCCACAAUGUUUCUUUCUACAGACAAAAGUUGUAAAAUAAGUCACUUCUAAUAAAAACUGUAGGGAACUACAUUUCUGUG